rnacentral:rRNA from 1 species
UAGGGAAUCUUCGGCAAUGGACGAAAGUCUGACCGAGCAACGCCGCGUGAGUGAAGAAGGUUUUCGGAUCGUAAAACUCUGUUGUUAGAGAAGAACAAGGACGUUAGUAACUGAACGUCCCCUGACGGUAUCUAACCAGAAAGCCACGGCUAACUACGUGCCAGCAGCCGCGGUAAUACGUAGGUGGCAUGCGUUGUCCGGAUUUAUUGGGCGUAAAGCGAGCGCAGGCGGUUUCUUAAGUCUGAUGUGAAAGCCCCCGGCUCAACCGGGGAGGGUCAUUGGAAACUGGGAGACUUGAGUGCAGAAGAGGAGAGUGGAAUUCCAUGUGUAGCGGUGAAAUGCGUAGAUAUAUGGGGGAACACCAGUGGCGAAGGCGGCUCUCUGGUCUGUAACUGACGCUGAGGCUCGAAAGCGUGGGGAGCAAACAGG